UACGGGGGGGUAAGCGUUGUUCGGAAUUACUGGGCGUAAAGGGCUCGUAGGCGGCCAACUAAGUCAGACGUGAAAUCCCUCAGCUUAAACUGGGGAACUGCGUCUGAUACUGGAUGGCUUGGAUUCGGGAGAGGAAUGCGGAAUUCCAGGUGUAGCGGUGAAAUGCGUAGAUAUCUGGAGAACACCGGUGGCGAAGGCGGCAUUCUGGACCGAUAUUGACGCUGAGGAGCGAAAGCCAGGGGAGCAAACGGGG
rnacentral:rRNA from 1 species